AGUCGAGGGGCAGCAUGGUCUUAGCUUGCUAAGGCCGAUGGCGACCGGCGCACGGGUGAGUAACACGUAUCCAACCUGCCGUCUACUCUUGGACAGCCUUCUGAAAGGAAGAUUAAUACAAGAUGGCAUCAUGAGUCCACAUGUUCACAUGAUUAAAGGUAUUCCGGUAGACGAUGGGGAUGCGUUCCAUUAGAUAGUAGGCGGGGUAACGGCCCACCUAGUCUUCGAUGGAUAGGGGUUCUGAGAGGAAGGUCCCCCACAUUGGAACUGAGACACGGUCCAAACUCCUACGGGAGGCAGCAGUGAGGAAUAUUGGUCAAUGGGCGAGAGCCUGAACCAGCCAAGUAGCGUGAAGGAUGACUGCCCUAUGGGUUGUAAACUUCUUUUAUAAAGGAAUAAAGUCGGGUAUGGAUACCCGUUUGCAUGUACUUUAUGAAUAAGGAUCGGCUAACUCCGUGCCAGCAGCCGCGGUAAUACGGAGGAUCCGAGCGUUAUCCGGAUUUAUUGGGUUUAAAGGGAGCGUAGAUGGAUGUUUAAGUCAGUUGUGAAAGUUUGCGGCUCAACCGUAAAAUUGCAGUUGAUACUGGAUAUCUUGAGUGCAGUUGAGGCAGGCGGAAUUCGUGGUGUAGCGGUGAAAUGCUUAGAUAUCACGAAGAACUCCGAUUGCGAAGGCAGCCUGCUAAGCUGCAACUGACAUUGAGGCUCGAAAGUGUGGGUAUCAAACAGGAUUAGAUACCCUGGUAGUCCACACGGUAAACGAUGAAUACUCGCUGUUUGCGAUAUACAGCAAGCGGCCAAGCGAAAGCGUUAAGUAUUCCACCUGGGGAGUACGCCGGCAACGGUGAAACUCAAAGGAAUUGACGGGGCCCGCACAAGCGGAGGAACAUGUGGUUUAAUUCG
rnacentral:rRNA from 1 species